UGUAGAAGACUAGAAGUAAAGUUUGCUAUUUUUCUUGGUUCCACAUUCACCUCUCAAGCUAAUCUGCAGAAAUAAACAGAAUCUUGGAUGUGUUUGUCAUUGUUCUUCAGUGUCAAUUUUGAUCUUGCAUACACUGCACAAAGUUGACAUAGUAAUAUGGCAAAAUUUAAUAUGAUCUAUCUGGGUUUCCUUUCUGACAAAGGGCAAGUAUGUGAAAGAAAUAGUUCUCAAAACCCUUUUAUUUGAGGAUAUAACAAAUAAAAGCCAUUAUGCCUAGGAAAAUUCAGUUCCAGAACAACAAGAAUUUUUGAACCAAGAUGUUAGGAAGGCAUUCAUUAUUAGCAUAACCAAUUUAAACCUAUGAUAUACCAUUAAUUAUGGUGAUGGUAAGUGACUUUGAAACCAAAGGGUAAAGAAUUUGUAGGAUCUCUUAAAGCUAGAUUCUGCAUCACAUUUAUUUGGAUAACUGCCUGAAAUUUAUUCAUGCAUGAGAUCCAGUGUUGAAACUUAAGAAUCUGGUUGUUUAUAAUGUGAGUUAACUUAGAUCAGAUCUUCUUUCUUCAUGCUAAUGGGAGCCUGUUUCGUUCAACAUGUUUAAUUUGGAAAUGAAUAAAAUUUUCUUUCUGUGAAAUGAAAUAAAUGUACUCCUUAUUGCCUUAAUGAAGUACAUUUACCAAUUCUUCAUACUGGUUAUUUUCCUGCUAGACAGUUUUGGCACUGUGUAUUAGAAUUAGUGCUAAACUAAAUUUGAUACUGUAACUACAUUAGUUUGAUGACUAUAAUCUUUUUCAGGAAAACAUUGAUUCUAAAAGUGUUUUUGUAAUGAACUUACAGGAAUAGGCUUUAAAAGUGUGUUUCUGAUCUCCAGCAAACCCCACAUCUUCAGCAAUGGGUAUCAGAUAAGGUUCAAUGAAGAACCAUCACCCGACUGCAACCUAGGUUACAUCGUGCCUGAGUGGGUUGAGUCGAACCCAAACCUCUCUGACAUACAAAAUAUAUAUGGUUCCUCAAAAAGCCUUCCUUCAACUACUAUAAUCUUGCCUUUGAAGAGUGAGAAGGAGUUGACUGUAAAAAAACAAUUGUCAAGUUUACAUCCAGAGGUCCUACUAUUCCUUUCUAAAGUUAGACAACUAUCUGUGAGGGAAGACAAUGAUGAUCCAAAGCUUAACACUGUCAGUCAAAUCUCUAUAUCAAGUGAAGCUAAUUACCAGAUGAGAAAGAACUUGAAUGCCGAAUCAUACACCCUUCAUCUUGCCGCUCAUGAGGUUGACAAAAAUGAUGAAGAAGCAUGCUCCUACUACAUGUGGAAGCAAAAGUUCCCUGUUAAGCCCGAAAGCAUUGUGAAGAAGAGGAUGGAAGUUGAGGAAUGGGUAAUUACUCUGGCUUUUCCCUCUGGAAGACGAUUGAAUCGAGGGAUGAAAUUGUCUGGAAUAUUCUCCU
rnacentral:lncRNA from 1 species